UCAGACGUGGUGUAUGGUGCACACUCGUUUUCUUUGAUGGAUUUCUAGAAGUUGACGCGGGAAGCCUGGGUUCGAUCCCCAGCGUCUGAA